rnacentral:rRNA from 1 species
GUCGAGCGGAAACGAAACUAGCUUGCUAUCAGGCGUCGAGUGGCGGACGGGUGAGUAACGCGUAGGAAUCUGCCUGAUAGUGGGGGAUAGCCCGAAGAAAUUCGGAUUAAUACCGCAUAAUCUAUUCGUAGUAAAGGGGGGGACUCUCCAGCCUCACGCUAUCGCAUGAGCCUGCUUAAGAUUAUCUUGUUGGAAGGGUAAAAGCCUACCAAGGUAACGAUCUUUACCUGGUCUGAGAGGAUGAUCAGCCACAUCGGGACUGAGACACGACCCGAACUCCUACGGGAGGCGGCAAUGGGGAAUAUUGGACAAUGGGGGCAACCCUGAUCCAGCAAUAGCGCGUGUGUGAAUAAGGCCUGAGGGUUGUAAAGCACUUUCAAUUGUGAAGAAAAGUUAACGGUUAGUAACCGUUGACCUUGACGUUAACUUUAGAAGAAGCACCGGCUAACUCCGUGCCAGCAGCCGCGGUAAUACGGAGGGUGCAAGCGUUAAUCGGAAUUACUGGGCGUAAAGCGUGCGUAUGCGGUUUAUUAAUUCAAAUGUGAAAGCCCCGGGCUUAACCUGGGAACUGCAUUUGAAACUGGUCAACUAGAGUAUGGUAGAGGAAAGUGCAAUUUCUGGUGUAACGUGGAAAUGCGUAGAUAUCAAAAUGAACAUCAAUGGCGAACGCAGCUUUCUGGACCAAUACUGACGCUGAGGUACGAAAGCGUGGGUAGCAAACAGGAUUACAGACCCUGGUAGUCCACGCCGUAGACGAUGAUAACUAGCCGUUGGGGGGGAUUUACCCUUUAAUGCCGAAGCUAACGCGAUAAGUUAUCCGCCUGGGGGAGUACGGCCGCAAGGCUAAAACUCAAUGGAAAUUGACGCGGCACCCGCACAAGGAGCUGGAGCAUGUAGUCUAAUUCGAUGCAACGACGCAUAACCUAUACUGAUCUUCGACAUCCUGCGAACUAUCUAGAAUGAGAUCGUCGCGUCCGGAACGCAGUGACUGCUGCUGCAUGCCGUCUCAGCUCGUGAACGGAGAUGUAGGCUCAGUACCGUACGAGCGCUAGUCCUAAUCGUAUGGCUAGCCAGUAAGCUCGAGCUAUAGCAGACUGCAGCGAUAAACGCAGAAGCCGGUACGACUCAGUCACUGGACUACGACAAGGCCUACCCAUGUCCAAUGAGCAGAGCCCGAAGCGGAGGGUACCUAAUCCUGAAAACCUUUUCG